AGACCAGGCUUAACGCUGGCGAGUUUCCCACCCGGCCCGCUCUCACGGUUGCACCGGUCGGGUGGAGGUGAAAGGCCGCCAAGAUGGCGCUGGCCAUUCAGCUGCCCCGCUCCUUGAUCGCCCGGCUGCUGACCGGCAGAGCCGUCCGCCUGGCCCGGCUCGGACCCCCGGAGGCGUUGCAGCCUUUCCACGGCCACUGCUGCCGAUGCCGCCUCAGCCUCAGCCUCAGCUCCAGGGCUGCUCCCGGGGCCGGCUGGGCCUUGGCAGCGACGGCCCCCCGCCUCAGCCGCCGCCGCCUCUUCCUCGGAGGCCCUGCCCAGCGCCCCGCAGCCGCUGCUUCCGCCGCCUUCGCUCUCCCGGGUCCCGGCCCCUGCUCCCCGCCUCCCGAGCGGAGUUACAGCAGCACGGAGGAGCCGCCACCGCAGCCGCCGCCACCCCGCCAGCAGACCCGGGUGAUGUACCUGGGACUGUUCAACCCCAUCGUGUGGCUGCGCACCCGGGUCUACGCCUUCCUCAUCUGGGCCUAUUUCGACCAGGAGUUCAGCAUCGCCGAGUUCACCGAGGGAGCGAAACAGGCUUUUGCUCAUGUAUCUAAGCUGCUUUCUCAGUGUAAAUUUGAUCUUCUGGAAGAGCUUGUCACCAAGGAGGUACUUCAAGUAUUGAAGGAAAAAGUUGCUUCACUGCCUGACAACCAUAAGACUGCACUUGCUGCUGAAUUAGAUGAAAUUGUGUACACUGCAACAGGUGACAUCUCCAUUUACUAUGAUGAUAAAGGAAGAAAAUUUGUUCACAUCCUGAUGUGCUUUUGGUAUCUAACCAGUGCCAAACUCCCUGAUGAGACAUUAAGUGGAACCAAAAUAUUCCAAGUUCACCUAGGGGAUCAGAAUGUAGAAACUAAACAACUUCUUAGUGCAAACUAUGAAUUUCAGAGAGAGUUUACACAAGGAGUGAAACCUGACUGGACAAUUGCAAGGGUUGAACAUUCAAAAUUAUUAGAAUAAUCAUCUUUCUCAUGGAAAAAUCAGCAUUUGGACUUUUGAGCUGCUGUGACAAACUAAAAAUAGAACUUUUUGGAUCACUCAAUCUCCACAUAAUCUACUGUGGAUUAAUUUUGUAUUACUUUGAAAUAUUUACAGUAUCUUGGUGUGACACAAUAAAAUUUUUUUUCAGAUCUUCACCACCUUAUAUAAAAUACUUUUUUAAAAAACCUUUUUGAUGUUGUAAAUGAUCACUACGCAUAUGCCAUCAGGCAUGGAUUUCACUACCCUUUAAAAGAGGAUAUUUUGUGCUACAUGGAUGAAAUAAAGCUGUCAAUAGAAAAGUAAGAAUUCCAAGUUUUAUCCCAUUUUGAGGAACUUUUAAGUGGCUGUUUGUAUGUAAUGUGGUAGGCACCAUUCAAAGCAACUUAGCCCCUGUGAUAAUUAAAACCAAAUUCUCAACUUGGUGGUGAGUAGCACUCAAUUGUGUCUACUGUGUUUUCCCUGGUUAUCUUUUCCAGACUAGCAGCUGUUGAAUUCCAAUACUUAGAGUAAUAUAAUGACAUAUUUUUCUUUAUAUAUAGCAUGUUUUUAUUGCCUUUUUUAAAUCAAGUAAAAAAAAAAACCUGGAAAAAUUUUCUUCUUGCAUGGACUUUACUGUUGUUUUCUAUGCAGGAAAAUACUCAAACUCUCAAAAUGACAUGCUUAUAUAUUUGAAAUUAUCAUAACACUUUUUAAAUAAAAAAAGAAAGCAAAUGGAAAUUUUGGUUUUAUCUGAAGCUUCUUCUUGGUUGCAUUCCCCAGAAAUAUAAAGCAUGGUAAUCAGUUGGUGUCCAUAUAAAAAAAAUAAAUGAAAAACUACAAAACCAUUGAUAAGAUUUGAUGCCAGUGUGUGUUUGAAUGAUGUUUUAGGCCAGGGUCAGUUUACAAACUUUUUUUUUUACUUGCAUAACAUAUAAAGACCAGAAAUAUCUUGCUAAAAAUUUGUUGCAUGGUCAGCUAGUUUUAAACCUAAUAAAUUGGUGCCUUAAAGAAAUUUCAUAGUUAUAAAUGACUUCAGUUGUCACAUUGUUUCACUACCUAACAUAUUCUUGUGGAAUUAAUUGAAAGCAUUAAAUGAAGCGUAACUAUAGCAUGGUCUGGUUUAGAGAGAUGAGGCUAACACAAAAUUAUAAGUAAGCCAUUUAAGACAGUAUUUAACUAAGUGCCAAACUAGCAGUCUCAGUGCUGUAGAAAUUAGAAAGCAGAAAAUCAAUAAGAGCUAUUAUACUCCAGUAUGCUUUUCAGGAUGCUUCCCUUUCCUCUAUAUUCCCUAAAUCCUCCCUGCUCAUCCUAUUCCUUUUGAGAAGCAUUAUGACAGUGAAAAGAGCAAGAGUCUAAGAAUUAGGGAGCUUGGAUUUGCAGUCAUUGUUAUUGAGAGCAAGCAAAUCACUUAAUCUCUCUGAGAAUCAGUUUCCUUAUCUGUAAAAAUGGGGAUAAUACUGUCACAUUUAAAAAACAAUAAACUUAGAAGAAGCCCUCUGCU